rnacentral:rRNA from 1 species
UACGUAGGGUGCAAGCGUUGUCCGGAAUUAUUGGGCGUAAAGGGCUCGUAGGCGGUUUGUCGCGUCGGGAGUGAAAUCCACUGGCUUAACUGGUGGCUUGCUUUCGAUACGGGCAGACUGGAGGUAUGCAGGGGAGAACGGAAUUCCUGGUGUAGCGGUGAAAUGCGCAGAUAUCAGGAGGAACACCGGUGGCGAAGGCGGUCCUCUGGGCAUGUCCUGACGCUGAGGAGCGAAAGUGUGGGGAGCGAACAGG